rfam:Prochlorococcus marinus str. MIT 9211, complete genome.
GGGGCCAUAGCUCAGCUGGUAGAGCACCUGCAUGGCAUGCAGGGGGUCAGCGGUUCAAGUCCGCUUGGCUCCA